GAUGAACGCUGGCGGCGUGCCUAAUACAUGCAAGUCGAGCGAACAGACGAGGAGCUUGCGCCUCUGACGUUAGCGGCGGACGGGUGAGUAACACGUGGAUCACCAUCUUCUAAGUCUGGGAGAAUAACGGAAAACCAGAGAUGCUACCGGCUCAUAUGAUGUACGGCAUGGAUCAAUAGUGCAUGACGGUUUUCGUGACAGUUUUAGAUGGUUUCGCGCCGGAUUAGCUAGUUGGUAAGGUAACGGCAUACCAAGGCAACGAUGCGUAGCUGACCUGAGAGGGUGAUCGGCCACACUGGAACUGAGACACGGUCCAGACUCCUACGGGAGGCAGCAGUGGGGAAUCUUGCGCAAUGGGCGAAAGCCUGACCGAGCAACGCCGCGUGAGUGAUGAAGGUCUUCGGAUUGUAAAACUCUGUUAUUAGGGAAGAACAAAAGUGGAAGUAACUACGCCCGUCUUGACGGUACCUAAAGAGAAAGCCACGGCUAACUACGUG
rnacentral:rRNA from 1 species